UCUUAUAGAUGAGCAGAGAAAGUGGUUUCUUAAGAUGGAAUCUACUUUUGGUGUAGAUGUUGUACA
rnacentral:pre_miRNA from 1 species